AAAUUUUGCAUUCGUUAGAGUUCUUCAGCAACUCAACAAUUGUGUAAAAAUAAACAACUCGACAACAAAAAUCUGAAAUCACAAAUUUAUUGAAGCCUAAAAUUUUGAAAAUACAAGAAGAAUUCAUGUCAAUGGAGGUUCCUCCAAAUUCAAUUUCCCUCUCUUCCUGGGAUUACCUUCUUCUCUUCUUCCUACGUCCUUUCUUCGCUCUUCUCUUUGUUCUCUCCGUCCUCUGCUUAGGUUGGUGGAUGGCGUGGAAAUUGGUGCUAGUUCAUGUUCCAUUGGUACAAGAAAUCUUUGGAUUGCGUAAAAAAUCUUCUAAACCCAAGAAUCCAGAGCGUCGCUAUUCUCAAUUCUACAAAUCCCGUGAUUCUUCUGCUAAUCCUCCUCCUUAAUUAUGGUAGAUUGAUGUUAAAGCUUAUGGAUCAUAUUAAUACAGAUGGAUAGAUAUGGGCAACUACCUGGUUCUAGACGGAGAAAUUGUAGGAUUAUGCUAUGCGCUUUUUGCUUUGUGAACUGUUUGUUCGUGUUUAUCACUCUGAUGUUGAGAUUUGUGGACACGGUAGAUAUUAUUGUUCUGCUUGGCCUGAAUUAGAAUGUGAUGCUGCGGAUCUGUUGUGAAGGAAAGUGUCCCUGAAAGCUCCAAAGUCGAAACAAAACAUUGGGUCAGCGAUCAUUAUCUUCCCAUCCACACAAGGUCACAAGGGAGUAUCUGAUUCUGUUUUCUAUACUUGUGGACACCAAUUCAUGGUCCUACUUGAACUACACCGGACCAUGCUCCAUGUCCCCAACCAUCGCAAUACCUCUUCCCUAAUAUGUACCCAAGCUAAUUAUUUCGCUUUACCACAUUAUGUGGAUUGGUGAAUCCGUGCAAACAUUGUUAAAAAUUGAUGUGUGACAUAAAAAGUUGUAUACUUGUAUUGUAUGGCUUGAAUCUUGUACACAAAUACGGAUUGUAUGGACGACCUAGCCUUAGAAUACAGUAUAUAUUUACUACUCCGUACGUUUUAUGUAUUUUUAAUCAUAUAUGUCCAACAGAUAAUCAUUUAUUAAUUUAAUCA